rnacentral:lncRNA from 1 species
GAAUCAUACUUCAAUCAAGAUCACAAAAUUAAGAGUUUGAUUCGAACAACGUUCUCUAACCGCUUAAAUUUUUAGAAAAUAGCUGUUGUUUCAUAUUAUUUAAUAAAAUGGUCAUAACUUACCUCAUAAUCUAGUAAUUUUACGCGCAAUUUAUAUUUAUUAUUCAUGAACGUAUAUUUCUGAGCUCGUUUCUCUACUAAAUCAUUCUUUUUGCUAACAAUUAUAAUUU